ensembl:lncRNA
CAGAGGGACAGACAGAGGGGGAUAGAAGCCCUUUCACCGGGAACAUCUGGAACUUUCCAGCCUCUCCAGAUAGAGACACACACCAUUUUGAGGAUAUGAAAGCUGUCACAUCUUUUAUAUGGCGGCACUCUCAUUAAAGACUGGGAGGGCGUGCGCCACGCUGUCUCGUGCUGAUCUUGUUUUAAAGGGGUCAUAUGAUGUUGCUAAAAAGAACAUUAUUUUGUGUAUUUGGUGUAAUGCAAUGUGUUUAUACAGUUUAAGGUUCAAAAAACUUUAUUUUCCACAUACUGUACAUUAUUGUUGCUAUUCUAUGCCUUUCUGAAACGCAUCGAUUUUUACAAA